rnacentral:rRNA from 1 species
CCUACGGGGAGCAGCAGUGAGGAAUAUUGGUCAAUGGACGCAAGUCUGAACCAGCCAUGCCGCGUGCAGGAAGACGGCUCUAUGAGUUGUAAACUGCUUUUGUACGAGGGUAAACGCAGAUACGCGUAUCUGUCUGAAAGUAUCGUACGAAUAAGGAUCGGCUAACUCCGUGCCAGCAGCCGCGGUAAUACGGAGGAUUCAAGCGUUAUCCGGAUUUAUUGGGUUUAAAGGGUGCGUAGGCGGUCGGAUAAGUUAGAGGUGAAAUCCCGAGGCUCAACUUCGGAAUUGCCUCUGAUACUGUUCGGCGAGAGAGUAGUGGCGGUAGGCGGAAUGUAUGGUGUAGCGGUGAAAUGCUUAGAGAUCAUACAGAACACCGAUUGCGAAGGCAGCUUACCAAGCUACUUCUGACGUUGAGGCACGAAAGCGUGGGGAGCAAACAGGAUUAGAUACCCGUGUAGUC